AUUGAACGCUGGCGGCAGGCUUAACACAUGCAAGUCGAGCGGGGGAAGGUAGCUUGCUACCGGACCUAGCGGCGGACGGGUGAGUAAUGCUUAGGAAUCUGCCUAUUAGUGGGGGACAACAUCUCGAAAGGGAUGCUAAUACCGCAUACGUCCUACGGGAGAAAGCAGGGGAUCUUCGGACCUUGCGCUAAUAGAUGAGCCUAAGUCGGAUUAGCUAGUUGGUGGGGUAAAGGCCCACCAAGGCGACGAUCUGUAGCGGGUCUGAGAGGAUGAUCCGCCACACUGGGACUGAGACACGGCCCAGACUCCUACGGGAGGCAGCAGUGGGGAAUAUUGGACAAUGGGGGGAACCCUGAUCCAGCCAUGCCGCGUGUGUGAAGAAGGCCUUAUGGUUGUAAAGCACUUUAGGCGAGGAGGAGGCUACUUUAGUUAAUACCUAGAGAUAGUGGACGUUACUCGCAGAAUAAGCACCGGCUAACUCUGUGCCAGCCGCCGCGGUAA
rnacentral:rRNA from 1 species